UUUCUGGUGGUCUAGUGGUUAAGACUCUGAACUUCCACUGCAGGGGGCCCAGAUUUAAUCCCUGGUUGGGAAA
rfam:TPA: Bos taurus chromosome 8, whole genome shotgun sequence.